ensembl:lincRNA
GCCUGUGCCACACCUCUCCGGUUAUGAAAGACAUGACCCAGGCUCCACACAGGGGUCAGCGUUGUGAAGGAGCUAUUCUGGAAUGGACUUCUUCCAUUCCAGAAUAGCUUCCAUUCCAGAAUAGCCCGGUGGGGGCCGGGGUUUCAUUGGAUUUUUAAGGUAAAACGGGAAGGAGUCGCGCAUGCACGUUUUUGCAGGUGAAACCUCAGGGUAGUCUGUGUAUAUCCUAUACUCCAUACGUUCUGUCUUCUCAUGCAAAAAAAAAAGACCCAUUGAUUCAGGUUCUUUAAACCAUGAGGGAACAAAAGUUGUUGUUUUUUUCUUCUUUCUUCUUUCUCCGGUUCCCAGUGUCAUAAUGACUCAGCCCCCUUCCUGCGCGCACCCUUAAUCCCUGCCUCCACCCUGUGACUCACCUGCACACGGCUCCAGCCAUGGGAUCGUCAUGGGCUCCAGCUCGCACACCUCUGCUACACGGCGAGAACGCGGGCGCCCGUUCGCAGCAGGAGGAGGGAAAGGCGAGUCGGAUGUGGGCUCUUUCUCCUCCCCGCACCCGGGUCGGGUCUUGUUGUUGGAGGAGCGGACCGGAGCUCUCGGCUGAGGGAACGCAGCUCCGCCCCGCGAGUCGCCGUGAAGCUGAUCCGGGGGAGACCGGCGCCCCCCGCCAGCGCCAGGGUGUGUCCCGGGCCGGCUGUGCUCGCAAUGUGGGCGCGGCGGAGGCCCAGGUUGCUGGGGAAAACCCGCAGCUGCCUGCUGACUGCGCAGGAAUUCCUAAAGACUUGCUUGAAUGCCUCGGUGACGACGGACACCGGUCUAGGCCGUAUGACCUACAGCCAGCAUCCCUGAGAAAAUGGCAGUCUGAAGAAAUGGUUCUGAAAUAGUGCUGUUCCUCAGUGGCAAAACUGAAAUCGAGCGGAAAAUGACGACCAGUAUGAAGCAUUACGGAUCUGACACGGAUCACUGCUGUAGCAGACGUCUUUCCAGGACAAACUGAGUUUUGACUUCACUUCUGACAAUACUGAGAUUCUUGCACAGCAACAACCGCGUUAGAAGAAACACUUUCAUAUAAAACCCACCAAAUUUAAGGCUUCAAACCGGGGAUGAUUUUGCAUAAAAUUCAAGACUGGGCAAACACCUCGCAUUGAACUUUUUUAUUUUCUGAAAAGGGGUACAAAUUUGUGGCGAUCUUCCAUAGUCAUUAGUUUUUUAGCUAUCAGUUCAUCCAGGUAGCUCUACCUUGUAGAGUACACAGAACAUAAUUUUAGCCAUAUAGAUGUGUAGAGGGAAAAAUAAACAAAGUUAAAGACAAUGAACCCUGACAGGGAAUAACUUCGAUUUUUACUUGUAAAUUAUUUCACUUUGGCUGCUCAUGUACAGUGGACCCGGAGUUAUUGUAAGCACUAUUUUUGAAGUCCCCUCAUUCAAUGCUAAAGAUUGCUAAAUGACCAGCUUCAUGUAUUGUCAACCUAAUUAAACUAGAACAGUCAACAUUGUUAUGAUAGUAGAAACCACUCGUGGAGGUUUUGAUUAAAUUGAUGUAUUUUGUGAUUCUAGAUUGUCUGCAACGAGGUUUCCAAGUGAUUACUGAUAGUGGCCUCGCUGCCAACACCUACAGUAUCUACCACAUUGGCCGUAGUUAAAUAUUUCUGCAAAAUGUCGAAAGCAAAAAGUAGACCUAAAACAAACGCUGUGGUUCGUUUUCGAUGUCGGUCUCGUACGUUUCCAUGCGCUCCAAUCGGGCUGCUCGCGUGUUUGUAUAGGCCGACGAAUUUCUUGGGUAGAAGCAGCGGGCGUUAUCAGCACCGAGCGCAGUCAGCGUUCAAAACAAUCAGCCUUUUGUUCAGCCCUUUAAAAGCGUUUUCGAUCGCUUCGCAUUGAAAAGGUGGUGUAAGAGCUCUCACCUUCCAAAACUUCACAUAACGAAUAGAUGUUGCGGGGAGCUACUGCUUGCUGUACCUCACAGCGGUGUUUAUACGCAGUCCCGAAUAACGACGACGGCGUGACACUGUCUAGACCACAAACACAACACUUGAGAACACAACAGUAAAACAGGUCGGGAUUUUAACGCUUGUACAGCAUUCUUUUCAAUGUUCGUUAUAACAAAAAAACACUUCAGACAGAGUAUUCCAAGUCCCGUUUCUGCUCUUAAUCCAUCGUGUCCCGUGUGUUUUCCUGUACUUUCAGUUUUGUUUUCCCAUUACAAAACAGGAGCAGACAGUGAAGUAAAAGUGACCAGCACUGAGCUGUACAUCAGUUUAUGACGACGGAACACUAAGGGAGCAUACUUAAUAAUGCUUGUGUAUUUCUAAUACUGUCUCUAAUACUUUAUCUAUUGAUUAAGGCUCUAUCACAGAGACUCUUCAUCUUUUAAGUCAACACAUCCCACUUUUGGAAUCCGGGUGGUUGAACACAUCAGGGAUUCAAGUUAGUAAGUGCAUCUCCUUGUUUGAAAGUAAUCUCACUGUUUUGAUGUUUAUGCUUUAAUUGCUUUUGCCAAUCGGGCAGAAGCAAUUAAACGACGGCUCUUGUGUUGUUAUUACGGAUUAAGAAAAAUGAACACUGACAGUGAAAAACCGAGAUUGAAGUCCAGUUUGAAUAAUCGUUAAACUGAGAGACUGUCGUUUGUGUCAUUUUAAUCUCAAAACACAUUUUAAUUUUUUAAAGGGUGUACGGUACAUAAAUACAUAUCAACCCCUUUUAUCUUUACCUAAAAGUGAUAUUUUUUCUUUGUUGUUAGUAUAUAUGGAUACAUUCUUAGAAUGCUUAUCAAAAGUAUCUCUCCCUUGGACUAUUUCACAUUUUCCCUUUACCAAUGGAAUCUUGCUGUAUUGAAUUGGGAUUUUUUGCCAUUGAUCAACACAAAACACUAUAAUAUCAAG